UACGUAGGGGGCAAGCGUUGUCCGGAUUUAUUGGGCGUAAAGAGCGUGUAGGCGGCUGUGCAAGUCCGUUGUGAAAACUCGAGGCUCAACCUCGAGACGCCGGUGGAAACUGCAAAGCUAGAGUCCGGAAGAGGAGAGUGGAAUUCCUGGUGUAGCGGUGAAAUGCGCAGAUAUCAGGAAGAACACCCGUGGCGAAGGCGGCUCUCUGGGACGGUACUGACGCUGAGACGCGAAAGCGUGGGGAGCGAACAGG
rnacentral:rRNA from 1 species